rnacentral:rRNA from 1 species
CCUUCUACCCUUGCACUUGCAAUUGUUCCUUACAAUGAUUCUAGAGAUAGUCAUACAGAGACAAAUAAUAUGGAUGUAGAGGAAGAUAAUAUUGAUGUUAACUUGAAUAGUUCAGCUCAUGAGGAUGUUGAUGAUUCUUUUCGGUCUGAUAUAUUUGAUCCAAGAAACUGGGAUUCUCUUAAUUCUAAACAGAUUGAUAUCUUAGCACAGAAGGGUCCAAAAACAGACUAGUCAGUUAAAGGUCCCAAAGAUAGAUAUCGUAAAAGGUUUACUUCAGUAUUCUAUACUAGAAUCCUAUCAAAUGGAGAGUAUUGUGAUAGAGACUGGCUUGUCUAUUCUGAACAACUUGAUAGAGUCUUUUGUUUUGGUUGUAAAUUAUUUACAAAAGGUCAUCGGAAAGGUCAGUUGGCAAAUGAGGGCCGUAAUGAUUGGUCACAUAUGACAAAUAGACUAAAAGAUCAUGAGACAAGUGUGGAUCAUGUUUCGAGUAUGACUAAUUGGUAUGAGUUGCGUAGUAGAUUGGAAAAACAUCAAACUAUUGAUAAAGCUGCUCAACGACAACUUGAGAAAGAGAAGGACCAUUGGAGAAAGGUAUUAUUCAGAAUUGUUUACAUUGUAAAAUUUCUUGCAAAGCAUAAUCUAGCAUUCCAUGGUACUAAUGGCAAGCUGUAUGAAGAUAGCAAUGGUAAUUUCUUGGGUUUGGUAGAGAUGUUGGCUGAAUUUGACCCCGUUAUUCAGGAGCAUGUUUGUCGUAUUACAAAUGAAGAAACUCAUGCUCAUUAUCUUGAUCAUAAGAUCCAGAGUGAAUUGCUACACUUGCUUGCUUCUUCUAUUAGGUCUGAAAUUAUCAAGAAAAUAAAGAGCUGA